GGAGAGUUGUCCGAGUGGUUGAAGGAGCACGCCUGGAAAGUGUGUAUAUGGGUAACUGUAUCAAGAGUUCGAAUCUCUUACUCUCCG
rnacentral:tRNA from 1 species